rnacentral:rRNA from 1 species
UCCUGACUCAGGACGAACGCUGGCGGCGUGCUUAACACAUGCAAGUCGAACGGUGAAGGGGCCUGCUUUUGUGGGUCCUGGAUGAGUGGCGAACGGGUGAGUAACACGUGAGUAACCUGCCCCCUUCUUCUGGAUAACCGCAUGAAAGUGUGGCUAAUACGGGAUAUUCUGGGUCUGUCGCAUGGUGGGCCUGGGAAAGAUUGCGCCUUUUUUGGUGUUUUUGGUGGGGGAUGGGCUCGCGGCCUAUCAGCUUGUUGGUGGGGUGAUGGCCUGCCAAGGCGGUGACGGGUAGCCGGCCUGAGAGGGUGGACGGUCACACUGGGACUGAGACACGGCCCAGACUCCUACGGGAGGCAGCAGUGGGGAAUAUUGCACAAUGGGCGCAAGCCUGAUGCAGCGACGCCGCGUGAGGGAUGGAGGCCUUCGGGUUGUGAACCUCUUUCGCCAGUGAAGCAGGCCUGCCUCGUUUGUGGGUGGGUUGACGGUAGCUGGAUAAGAAGCGCCGGCUAACUACGUGCCAGCAGCCGCGGUAAUACGUAGGGCGCGAGCGUUGUCCGGAAUUAUUGGGCGUAAAGAGCUCGUAGGCGGCUGGUCGCGUCUGUCGUGAAAUCCUCUGGCUUAACUGGGGGCUUGCGGUGGGUACGGGCCGGCUUGAGUGCGGUAGGGGAGACUGGAACUCC